UACGUAGGGUGCGAGCGUUGUCCGGGAUUAUUGGGCGUAAAGGGCUCGUAGGCGGUUUGUCGCGUUGGGAGUGAAAACUCAGGGCUUAACCCUGAGCCUGCUUCCGAUACGGGCAGACUAGAGGUAUGCAGGGGAGAACGGAAUUCCUGGUGUAGCGGUGAAAUGCGCAGAUAUCAGGAGGAACACCGGUGGCGAAGGCGGGUCUCUGGGCCGAUACUGACGCUGAGGAGCGAAAGCGUGGGGAGCGAACAGG
rnacentral:rRNA from 1 species